CCUACGGGAGGCAGCAGCAGGGAAUCUUGCGCAAUGGACGAAAGUCUGACGCAGCAACGCCAUGUGUGGGAUGAAGCAUUUCGGUGUGUAAACCACUGUCGGCAGGGAAUAAAGCCUCGUCUUUGACGAGGGGUGAAUGUACCUGCAGAGGAAGCCCCGGCUAACUUCGUGCCAGCAGCCGCGGUAAUACGAGGGGGGCAAGUGUUGUUCGGAAUCACUGGGCGUAAAGGGAGCGUAGGCGGGUGCUUAAGUUGGAUGUUUAAAACCGGGGCCCAACCCCGGCGUGGCAUUCAAAACUGGGCAUCUUGAAUGGGACAGAGGCCGGUGGAAUUGGAGGUGUAGCGGUGGAAUGCGUAGAGAUCUCCAAGAACACCAGUUGCGAAGGCGGCCGGCUGGGUCCACAUUGACGCUGAGGCUCGAAAGCGUGGGGAGCAAACAGGAUUAGAUACCCUGGUAGUCCACGCCGUAAACGAUGAACACUAGCUUUUAGGCCCGUCAACGGUCUAGAGCCGCAGCUAACGCGUUAAGUGUUCCGCCUGGGGAGUACGCUCGCAAGGGUGAAACUCAAAAGAAUUGACGGGGGCCCGCACAAGCGGUGGAGCAUGUGGUUUAAUUCGACGCAACGCGCAGAACCUUACCAGGGCUUGACAUGGGGAAGACUGGACGAGAGAUCGUCCUUCUCUAGCAAUAGAGCUUCCUACACAGGUGCUGCGUGGCUGUCGUCAGCUCGUGUCGUGAGAUGUUGGGUUAAGUCCCGCAACGAGCGCAACCCCUCGUUUUUAGUUGCCAUCAUUUAGUUGGGCACUCUAAAGAGACUGCCGCGAAUAACGCGGAGGAAGGUGGGGACGACGUCAAGUCAUCAUGGCCCUUACGUCCUGGGCUACACACGUGCUACAAUGGGCGUUACAGAGGGAUGCAAUGCCGUAAGGUGGAGCCAAUCCUAUAAAAGCGCCCCAAGUUCAGAUCGAGGUCUGCAACUCGACCUCGUGAAGGUGGAAUCGCUAGUAAUCGCGGAUCAGAACGCCGCGGUGAAUACGUUCCCGGGCCUUGUACACACCGCCCGU
rnacentral:rRNA from 1 species